AUUGAACGCUGGCGGCAGGCCUAACACAUGCAAGUCGAACGGCAGCACAGAAGAGCUUGCUCUUUGGGUGGCGAGUGGCGGACGGGUGAGUAAUGUCUGGGAAACUGCCCGAUGGAGGGGGAUAACUACUGGAAACGGUAACUAAUACCGCAUAACGUCGCAAGACCAAAGUGGGGGACCUUCGGGCCUCACACCAUCGGAUGUGCCCAGAUGGGAUUAGCUAGUAGGUGGGGUAAUGGCUCACCUAGGCGACGAUCCCUAGCUGGUCUGAGAGGAGGACCAGCCACACUGGAACUGAGACACGGUCCAGACUCCUACGGGAGGCAGCAGUGGGGAAUAUUGCACAAUGGGCGCAAGCCUGAUGCAGCCAUGCCGCGUGUAUGAAGAAGGCCUUCGGGUUGUAAAGUACUUUCAGCGGGGAGGAAGGCGGUGAGGUUAAUAACCUUGCCGAUUGACGUUACCCGCAGAAGAAGCACCGGCUAACUCCGUGCCAGCAGCCGCCGUAA
rnacentral:rRNA from 1 species